GACGAACCGUCCUAACGUUGUUCGGAAUCACUGGGCUUAAAGGGCGCGUAGGCGGCCUUGCAAGUCGGGGGUGAAAUCCCACGGCCUAACCGUGGAAGUGCCUCCGAUACUGCAAGGCUCGAGGGAGGUAGGGGCAGCUGGAACUUCCGGUGGAGCGGUGAAAUGCGUUGAUAUCGGAAGGAACGCCGGUGGCGAAAGCGAGCUGCUGGACCUCUGCUGACGCUGAGGCGCGAAAGCCAGGGGAGCAAACGGG
rnacentral:rRNA from 1 species